rnacentral:rRNA from 1 species
UACAGAGGUCUCAAGCGUUGUUCGGAUUCAUUGGGCGUAAAGGGUGCGUAGGCGGCGCCGUAAGUCAGGUGUGAAAUUUCGGAGCUUAACUCCGAAACUGCAUUUGAUACUGCGGUGCUUGAGGACUGGAGAGGAGACUGGAAUUUACGGUGUAGCAGUGAAAUGCGUAGAGAUCGUAAGGAAGACCAGUGGCGAAGGCGGGUCUCUGGACAGUUCCUGACGCUGAGGCACGAAGGCCAGGGGAGCAAACAGG